UUCCAGGGAGCCAAACCAGCAUCUGCAGCUUAGAGAUCCUCAGGGAAGCCCCUGUCCCGAGCCUGACCUCCAGCAUCAGGCCAGCCUGAUAGGUGCUCUGCUGAAAAGGGACUCUGGGACCAGGCUACCCCUAGAGGAGGCUUGCUCCACACCACUGCUUCUAGGGCCCUGCUUUGUGCCAUGUCUUUUUUGUGUGACAGCUCUGCAUCAGGACUCAAGGAUCUUGCCAAGUGGAAGUCACUGAAAGAAAUCCAGACCUGCUUGUGUGAAGAGGUAGAGGUUUAUUGAAAUAUAAGCAUUCGAGAACACAUAAAAUAGAAAAUAACCACAACAUAUACAGAAAUUGCUGCAAAAG